ACGGAAGGCAGCAGUGAGGAAUAUUGGUCAAUGGACGGAAGUCUGAACCAGCCAAGUCGCGUGAAGGAAGAAGGUUCUAUGGAUUGUAAACUUCUUUUGUCUGAGGGUAAAGUGAGAGAUGCGUCUCUUAUUGCAAGUAUCAGACGAAUAAGCAUCGGCUAACUCCGUGCCAGCAGCCGCGGUAAUACGGAGGAUGCGAGCGUUAUCCGGAUUUAUUGGGUUUAAAGGGUGCGUAGGCGGGAUGUUAAGUCAGCGGUGAAAGCGUGUAGCUCAACUAUACCAAGCCGUUGAAACUGGCGUUCUUGAGUGUAAACGAGGUAGGCGGAAUGUGACGUGUAGCGGUGAAAUGCUUAGAUAUGUCACAGAACCCCGAUUGCGAAGGCAGCUUACCAGCAUACAACUGACGCUGAGGCACGAAAGCGUGGGUAUCAAACAGGAUUAGAUACCCUGGUA
rnacentral:rRNA from 1 species